CUCUGUGACUGGCUUGCUUGAUAGUUAGGGUCUGAUUGCUGCCUGAGACACCAUAUCGGUACUCCUCAGAGUUGGUGAUCACAGGAUCUGGUUUGCCACUGAAAGGAAUCUUGAUGCUGACCACUUCACCUCGGAGAGCAUGAACUGCUCCCAUGCCUUCAAGAGUUUUAGAAUUUUAUGCAAAGAUGGAACUUUACCAUAGGAAGAUAUAGAAAUCGGGUUGUACUCACCAAAUGGACUCUUAAUGAUCACAACUGAGGACACUUCUAGAGGGUCACUGAUGCCGAAAAUGUUCUGAGCUGAAACCCGGAAGUAAUAGCCAGCAUUUUCUGUGAGGUUCACAAUUCUACAGGUUGUCACUGAGAUGGCUGAAGACACCAAUUGCCAUUCAGCCCCCUCCUUGGCCUCACAUUUUUCCACCACAUAGUUGGUGAUCCAGGAGCCUCCGUCAUCUGCGGGUGGUUUCCAGCUGAUCACUGCGGAGUUCUUCAAUAGAGCUUCGAUCACAAUUGGUCCUGUAGGAUGGCAUCAACUGUUCCAAAAACAUUGCUGAGCUGGACUUUGUAUUUCCCAGCAUGAGUCUUACGUUGGACAUUCUUCAUGACAAGAUGAGUAUAGUGCUCAGUGUUUUCAAUAGUAAUGUUUUCUGAGUUUUGCAAAAGUUUCUGACCAUGGAACCAAGUCAUGGCAGGUACUGGACGACCAAUGUACAUAACAUGAAGCCGAAGUGUGGAACCCACAGCUCCAUAAUAUUUCUCUUU
rnacentral:antisense_RNA from 1 species